rnacentral:siRNA from 1 species
UGAAGCUGUUAGUAGUCGUGAA